rnacentral:rRNA from 1 species
UACGUGAGGGGCAAGCGUUGUCCGGAUUUAUUGGGCGUAAAGAGCGUGUAGGCGGCUAGAUAGGUCCGUUGUGAAAACUCGAGGCUCAACCUCGAGACGUCGAUGGAAACCAUCUGGCUAGAGUCCGGAAGAGGAGAGUGGAAUUCCCGGUGUAGCGGUGAAAUGCGCAGAUAUCGGGAAGAACACCCGUGGCGAAGGCGGCUCUCUGGGACGGUACUGACGCUGAGACGCGAAAGCGUGGGGAGCGAACAGG